CUCCUUCAUUAACCACGUCAAGGGCAUGCUUCUUUACCAACAUGUUGCAAGCUAUAUAGUUAAUACCAAGAUCCUUCAAAAUAUAAUCCUUUCACUUUCACCUUAAAUAAUACUAAUAAAUACAUGUACACACUAUAUAAUAUAACCACUUAGUUGCACAAAUACUUUGAUUAUAUUAAUACACACAAUCUUACUAUAAUGUUUUUUGGUGGAGCUGGGGAACCCAACUAGGAUCACACAAUCAUGAAGAAAGGGAACAUAAGCUCGGAUCUCAAACUCACUAUUCCUGCAUCUGAUCAGGGUUCAUUAACCAUGUUCCGCUCUGACUCUGAAACCGGAACGUUCAAGGCUGGGGACUUGCUUGUUAACAAAGAAGGAGUUCGAAUUGUAUCUCAGAAUGAAGUGGAAGCUCCACCCCCAAUCAGGCCACUAGAUAACCAAUUAAGUUUGGCAGACAUUGAUACAAUCAAAGUGGUUGGAAAAGGAAAUGGAGGGAUAGUGCAAUUGGUUCAACACAAAUGGACUAAUCAGUUCUUUGCAUUAAAGGAAAUUCCAAUGAAUAUUGAGGAGCCUAUUCGCAAGCAGAUAGCACAAGAGCUAAAAAUUAAUCAAUCAGCACAAUGUCCAAAUGUUGUUGUCUGCUACCAUUCAUUCUAUCAUAAUGGUGUCAUAUCAAUCAUCUUAGAGUACAUGGACGGAGGGUCCUUAGAAGAUCUUCUCAACAAAGUUAAAACAAUUCCAGAGUCAUAUCUUGCUGUCAUCUGCAAGCAGGUGUUGAAGGGUUUAAUGUAUCUUCACCAUGAAAAACAUAUUAUCCACAGGGACUUAAAACCUUCUAACCUGCUGAUAAAUCAUAGAGGGGAGGUAAAGAUCACUGACUUUGGUGUAAGUGUAAUCAUGGAAAAUACAUCUGGUCAAGCAAAUACUUUCAUUGGCACAUACAGCUAUAUGUCUCCAGAGAGAAUUAUUGGUAAUCAGCAUGGCUACAACUACAAAAGUGAUAUAUGGAGUUUGGGACUGAUUUUGCUCAAGUGUGCCACGGGGCGGUUUCCGUAUACACCACCGGAUCAACGUGAAGGAUGGGAAAAUAUUUUUCAGCUCAUUGAAGCCAUCGUGGAAAAGCCUUCUCCUAGUGCUCCAUCAGAUGAUUUUUCUCCAGAAUUUUGUUCAUUUAUCUCAGCAUGGUAAAUAUUAAGUCUGCUUCAGCAACUAAAUCAUAUGAUCUCAUCCUUAAAAUAAUUGGGAUGCUUGAUGAGAGUACAAUUCAAAAGCAGUAAUCAUCCUUUUAUCAAGAAGUACGAGGAUUUGAAUGUGGAUCUUUCAGCUUAUUUCUCCAACGCAGGAGUUACACUUGCAACCAUAUAGAACAUGCUAUGUUCUAAUCCUGGGCUUUAUUCAAAGAUAUUACCCAAACUACAAGUGAAUGCGGGAUGUGCUCGUUUGGUUUGCAACCUUCCAAGUUUCCAUACUAAUAUUCUGGACUAUCUGAGACCCUUCCAUAUAAAAUACACAUGGUUCUGAACAAUGAGAGAUAUGGCACUAUAUGUCAACUUGGCAAAUGGAAAGUACUACUGUCACUUUAUAUGUAACUGCAAUUUGUAUUCAUUUACUUGUAGAGGAUCACCAAUUGCCUAUGACCAGAAUUUGCAGAAUGGAGCCAAGGAAACCAGCUGUUAAUAUUAUGUCAAAGAAUGUGUUUUGUUGUUAUGAUACAGUCAUAUAGACAAUAAUAAAACCUAAGAGAAAUUUAUGCCUGCUCAUUUGAAAAUAACUAAUAAUGUAACUCAAUGGAGGUUGCUUGCUU